rnacentral:rRNA from 1 species
UUAUGGCUCAGGAUGAACGCUAGCUACAGGCUUAACACAUGCAAGUCGAGGGGCAGCAUUGGAGUAGCAAUACUCAGAUGGCGACCGGCGCACGGGUGAGUAACACGUAUCCAACCUGCCGCUUACUCGGGGAUAGCCUUUCGAAAGAAAGAUUAAUACCCGAUGGUAUAAAGAGUUCGCAUGUUCUCUUUAUUAAAGAAUUUCGGUAAGCGAUGGGGAUGCGUUCCAUUAGAUAGUUGGCGGGGUAACGGCCCACCAAGUCUACGAUGGAUAGGGGUUCUGAGAGGAAGGUCCCCCACAUUGGAACUGAGACACGGUCCAAACUCCUACGGGAGGCAGCAGUGAGGAAUAUUGGUCAAUGGACGAGAGUCUGAACCAGCCAAAAGUAGCGUGAAGGAUGACUGCCCUAUGGGUUGUAAACUUCUUUUAUAAGGGAAUAAAGUGAGGGACGUGUCCCUUUUUGUAUGUACCUUAUGAAUAAGGAUCGGCUAACUCCGUGCCAGCCGCCGC